rnacentral:ncRNA from 2 species
UACGAUGGUCGCGGCGCUGGUUCGCCCGACCUCGACAGGACGGGCGUCGUAAGAGGGAACCCGGUGAGAGUCCGGGACUGCCCCGCAGCGGUGAGUGGGAACGACCGCCGUCAACAGCACUGGGCGCACCUGCCUGGGAAGCGAUGGCCAGUAGGAGACCGGUACUGCCCGGUCACGCCCGCGAGUCCGAAGACCUGCCCGCGCCGCGUACACGAC